AAUUGUUGCUGGCUAGUCUGAAGGAGCUGAGCAUGGGAGAGCCUCUAUGUGGAGGAGCUAUGUGGAAAAAGCUGUGCUUUGUGACACAGGUGUUUAUGAACCCUGAAUGGUUGCUAUGGGAGAUUAAAGGAUUUCUCUAACAUGCA